CUACGGGUGGCUCCAGUGGGGAAUAUUGCACAAUGGAGGAAACUCUGAUGCAGCGACGCCGCGUGAGUGAAGAAGUAUUUCGGUAUGUAAAGCUCUAUCAGCAGGGAAGAUAGUGACGGUACCUGACUAAGAAGCACCGGCUAAAUACGUGCCAGCAGCCGCGGUAAUACGUAUGGUGCAAGCGUUAUCCGGAUUUACUGGGUGUAAAGGGAGUGUAGGUGGCAUGGCAAGUCAGAAGUGAAAGCCCAGGGCUCAACCCUGGGACUGCUUUUGAAACUGCCGAGCUAGAGUGCAGGAGAGGUAAGUGGAAUUCCUAGUGUAGCGGUGAAAUGCGUAGAUAUUAGGAGGAACACCAGCGGCGAAGGCGGCUUACUGGACUGUAACUGACACUGAGGCUCGAAAGCGUGGGGAGCAAACAGGAUUAGAUACCCUUGUAGUC
rnacentral:rRNA from 1 species